GAUGAACGCUGGCGGCGUGCCUAAUACAUGCAAGUCGAGCGAAUGGAUUAAGAGCUUGCUCUUAUGAAGUUAGCGGCGGACGGGUGAGUAACACGUGGGUAACCUGCCCAUAAGACUGGGAUAACUCCGGGAAACCGGGGCUAAUACCGGAUAACAUUUUGAACCGCAUGGUUCGAAAUUGAAAGGCGGCUUCGGCUGUCACUUAUGGAUGGACCCGCGUCGCAUUAGCUAGUUGGUGAGGUAACGGCUCACCAAGGCAACGAUGCGUAGCCGACCUGAGAGGGUGAUCGGCCACACUGGGACUGAGCCACGGCCCAGACGCCUACGGGAGGUAGCAGUAGGGAAUCUUCCGCAAUGGACGAAAGUCUGACGGAGCAACGCCGCGUGAGUGAUGAAGGUUUUCGGGUCGUAAAACUCUGUUGUUAGGGAAGAACAAGUGCUAGUUGAAUAAGCUGGCACCUUGACGGUACCUAACCAGAAAGCCACGGCUAACUACGUGCCAGCCGCCGCAGUAA
rnacentral:rRNA from 1 species